rnacentral:rRNA from 1 species
CAGUAGCCGCGGGAAAACGUAGGGUGCAAGCGUUAAUCGGAAUUACUGGGCGUAAAGCGUGCGCAGGCGGUUUGUUAAGACAGAUGUGAAAUCCCCGGGCUCAACCUGGGAACUGCAUUUGUGACUGGCAAGCUAGAGUAUGGCAGAGGGGGGUGGAAUUCCGCGUGUAGCAGUGAAAUGCGUAGAUAUGCGGAGGAACACCGAUGGCGAAGGCAGCCCCCUGGGCCAAUACUGACGCUCAUGCACGUAAGCGUGGGGAGCAAACAGGAUUAGAUACCCCGGUAGUCCCUGUCUCUUAUAA